UAAUAAGUUUACACUAAUUACGUUAAAACUAAUUUUGUGGUUUAACAUCCACUGAUCAUGCAUCCUCUAUUUAUUACUAAAUCUUUAAUUACACAAAACAAAAUUUAGACGAUCAUAAAAAAAAAUUCUCUUUUCUUUUUGAAUUUUUUCAUUGGCCGCCUCUUUUUUUGUUUCCUCAGUUUAAAAUCUUAGUUGGAAAUAAAAUAUCUAUUUUCCUUUUCACCAAAACUAAGUAAAUCAAAAUACAAAUCUCUCCGGAAUCUUAACUUCUUUAAUCUACAAAAUCUACACUUUCUUUGCCAAAUACAAAUAUCUAAGAUAUAUAUUUUUUUUGUUAAUAACUUCUUCUCGCCAAGAUGAUUACUUUAAGAAGCAGAGGUUUGGUGGCUCGUCUUCUUCGCAAAACUUCUUUUAUCAUCAAGGCGUUGAAGGACCCGGAAAGAAACAGAAAGACGGUUAAGAAAAUAAAGCACACGGACGAUGAUGUUACUGAGGUUGCUAGGAUUAUGAGGCCCAUGAGGAUCUGACCGUGAGGAUCGUGAAGAAGAUUUAGAGAUGCAUGGGAUGCACCAUUGAUGAAAAAGACCCAAAAGAUUUUUCAGCAUGAAUUCAAGGAUGUGAUCGAGAUUGAUAUUUCUGAGAAUUAAUUAAGGAACAAAAGUAGUUUAUGGUUUUAGAGUUUGUUUUUGAAUUUUCAACAAUGUAAAGUUGUAAACGUGUAAACGUGUUUUCUUCCAUGAAAUUAAGUUUUUGUUUUUAAUUUUA